CGGUGCGAAUUUCAAGCAUGUGGCGGGCGGCGGGCAUUCCAAGGGGCUGAUCGAUGUACAACGACAGCGGCCGCGGACGGCGAUCUCCUGAUCUGACUGGCCUGAUCUGGCUGUGGCCACUCGCCAACCGACUGUGUCCGAACCGCGCCACCCGUCGUCGUGCCUAGCGAACCGAUCCGUGCUCCCCUGGUCUUGAAAAGCCAUCCAAAUGCACGUUAGCGAAUCCUUCCAAAUCGUGAAGAUCUGCUGCUCGCUACAAAGCCAGGACAGAGACUGACGUGGCAGAGGCUAGGUGCGGGUGCUGGCUCGUCGGACGGUGCCGGGUUUGCAGUCGGUUGCAGUCGUGCCGGGGCUGUAGUCGCUCAGUCGGACGGUGCCGGGGUUGCAGGCGGCCGGCGCCGCUGCGUGCUGGGCUUUGCGCUGUAUUGCCUGGCACUGAUCGUCACCUGAGGAGCAGCGGGCCGGGCCGCCAGCGGUCAGCCCUGUGGGGCGUCACCCGGCCUGGGCGUCAGCUUCCCACUGAACGCCGCACGCCGCUCCCGCGCGGCCGCCGCCGCAGCGCGCCCCACCGGCGUCCGCUCCGACUGUUGGACGCGCCGCCAGGGCGCGCUGCGGGCGUAGAUGACGGGAUGUCGGACGGCGCUUGGCGUGGGACCAAACUGUGCAGACGCGGACGCUGCGAGUGUUGUUCGAGUGUUGUGUGUCGUUGUGUGGAAGCGAGACGGUUAAACAUGUUCAUGGUUGUUGCGCGCUACGAUAAGCCGCUAAUAUCGCUGCGCCUCUCUUCGCGUUCGCGCUUUCUGGCACUUUCGCAACUGGACACAGCGCCAUCUGUAAAUGCGUGCCUUUCUAAUACAACAUAUCUGCACAUUC